rnacentral:lncRNA from 1 species
CUGGCUAGGACUUCCAGUACUAUGUUGAAAAGAAGUGGUGAGAAUGAACAUUUUUUUCUUGUUCCAGUUCUUAGAGAAAAGGCUUUCGACUUUUUCACAUUCAGUAUGAUGUUAGCUGUGGGUUUGUCGUAUGUGGCAUUUAUUAUGUUAAGAUCAUAAUGCCUGGUUAUGGCAAAAAGACCGCAAUUCCCACCAGAGAGCAAAAAGGAAGUAAAGCUACCAUUGUUGAUCUGAAACUAAAUGGAUUCUUGUCCGUUGUGAGGAGCAGCAGCCUACAAAGCACACUGAAUGCCAAAUGUGUUGCACCAGGGCUACAGGGAGUCGACUGCUCACAGAAAGCAAGCAUUCUGUUCUAAUUCUGUGCUGUAAGCUUUGCAAUAAGAGGCUCCAUAUGAGAAGGCUGGUGGUUGCCCAGCUGGGCUUAUGACAGACACACCCAGAUGUUUUUAAUCUAUGCAAAAUAAUGAUGGAUACUUGCUACCUUCUUCAACUAAUUUUCAAGAUGUAUUUAUAUAAAAUAAAAGAGUCUUUUAAAGCACAACUUUUUUCAAAUGUAUUUGUUACUGCACCUUUUGCCCUGGAAAAUUAUUUUUCUAUUUUUAUUUUUAUUUUUUGAGACAGGGUCUCACUCUGUCACCCAGGUUGGAGUGCAGUGGUGUGAUCACAGAUCACUGCAGCCUCGACCCCCACAGGCUCAAGUGAUCCUCCCACCUCAGGCCCCUGAGUAGCUGGGACUACAGGCAUGCACCACUAUACCAGCUGAUUUUUAAAACUUUUUGUAGAGACAGAAUCUCACUACAUUGCCCAAGCUAGUCUCAAACUUCUGGUCUCGAGCCACCCUCCCACCUCAGCCUCCCAAUGUGCUGGGAUUACAGGCAUACGCCACCACACCCAGCCUUAUUAUUUUGCUCUUUAGAGAUAAGAUAUCCAAACUUCAAAAAUAUUGUUAAUUUGGUACAAGUUAAAUCUCAGAAAUUUUGGAAACAAUCGCCUUCUGUAAUAUAUGUAAAAUAUUAUACACAGUGUCUGGCAUACAGUUAGUGCUAAAUAAAAGUUUUUC